rnacentral:miRNA from 1 species
CGCCUCGCCUCGACCGGCGCAUAGCAGCCGAUUUAGACUCUGUGCGGCCCAGGUGAAUCGGACUGUUUAAUUAAAAACAAAGCAUCGUGAAGGCCCGCGGCGGGUGUUGACGCGAUGUGAUUUAUGCCCAGUGCUAUGAAUGUCAAAGUGAAGAAAU